UACACACACACACAUACAAAGACAAAAAUAUAUUGAUGCAUACUUAUACACACAAGCACUUAUGUGUACACACAAACACCCUACCAUCACACACAUCCCCACCCUUCUCACUCCUCCCCCCACCAAACAUACCUAAUUCUGUAAUGUUACAACCUUGUGUCAUUGUCCUAGUGUGUGUGUGUGUUUCUUUUUGUUGCUUUUGUUGGGGAUUUUUUUUUUUCAGUUGUUUAAUAUUUCCCAAAUCUUGUUUCUUUCAUUGAUCAUCAAUAAAUACUGUUGGAAGGGGAAUUUUUGUUUUAUAUUUUUUGCUUGUUUUUAUUUCUCUUCCUCCACCCUCACCUUUUUCCAGUUUUUAUUUUAGUUAUCCAUUUACUUAUUUCUCAACUGUUCAUAGGUAUUUUCCUCUUAAUCAGUGGUUCAAUUCAUUUGGUUUAUUUGUUUCAUGUCAUCAAUUAUUGUUAGCAUAGGAUAUGUGUAGUGGUAUGGUUAGAAGUUUGCUUUCCCAAGCACAUGGUCCAGUUCUACUGCUUGACACCUUGGACAAAUCUCUUCUGCUAUAACCUCAGGCUGACCAAAGCCUUGUCAGUAUAUUUAGUUGACAGAAACUGAAAGAAACUUGUGUAUAUAUAUAUAUAUAUAUAUAUAUAUAUAUACCGUAAAUCCUUGAGUAUAAAUCCGCAUUUUUUUCCCAAAAUUUAACGGUCAAAAUCCUUAGUGCAUACUAUAUACGAGGUUAAAAAUGAAAACUAUUUUCUCAGCAAUGUCCAAGUCUCCAUUUGCUGUCUGGCAAUGUUUAUUCAGUUGCAUUUUGUGAUGUCGGGUGCGAAAAUACCUUAAGCUAAGCCUGAAAGCAAUGAAGUCAUAAAAGAAUCAUCCAUAACUUGCAUUAAGCAACAUUUAUUAAAAUAAAAGUAUUCAGAACACAGAAUAACAUGUAACAAACACAAUUUGCAAACAUAUUUACAUUCCCAAAUUACAGUUAAGAACAUCACCAUUAUUGUAUUACGCAUGCACGGAAGUGUUUGUUCGACUAGGUGCUACAGGUGAGGGUUGGUGACAGAAAGGGUAUCUAGCCAUAAGAAAUCUGCCUCAUCAAAUUCCGUUUGACUCAUGCCAAGCAUAGAAAAGAGGACAUUAAAAUGAGUCUAGCAGAAAUUGCACCAAUAAUGAUUACUUUCCAACUUAAAAAUAAAUUCUUCACCAGAAACCCCAAAUGUACCCCUAGAAUUCUAACAUUUCUCUCAGGUUAGGAAUUGUUGACCUAAACAUAUAUCAACAUGGUUGUAGUAAGACUUGAACCCACAACCUGUUAAUUAACAAUCUAUAUGUGUUAUAUAGAGACUUCUGGUAUCAGUAUAAGACUAGAAAUUUGUGAGUGCUAUAAUUAAUUGUAUUAACCUCAUUAUACAGCUGAUAUUUAUUUUGCUAACCCAGAAGGCAAAGUCAACUUUAUAAAAGGAUACCAGGUAUUUAGUCUAGCACUCUACUGUUUGUGCCAAUCCACAAGCCUCUGUGAUUGUAGAAUAGAAAACAAUGUUUCCAGUAACCUGAAGGUAUAAAAAGCUGGAAGGCGGCGAGCUGGCAGAAACGUUAGCACGCCGGGCAAAAUGCUUAGCGGUAUUUUGUCUGCCACUACGUUCUGAGUUCAAAUUCCGCAGAGGUCGACUUUGCCUUUCAUCCUUUCGGGGUCGAUUAAAUAAGUACCAGUUAUGCACUGGAGUCAAUGUAAUCGACUUAAUCCGUUUGUCUGUCCUUGUUUGUCCCCUCUGUGUGUAGCUCCUUGUGGUCAGUAAAGAAAUAGGUAUAAAAAGCUGGUGUUUUUAAGACCCAAUAUAAAAAGACAGGGUGGAUGUAAAUGCUAGAUGUCAUUCCAUCAAUCAUACUAUACACUUAGACAAGCAAUCUGUCAACAGACAAGUCUGUAGUUUUCUUUAAAUGAUGCUACUGGUCUUACAUCCCCAGCUAGAAGUAGCAACUAGAUCUCCCUCAAUCACAGUGUACUGGCUUAAAUAAAGAACGAUACAAUGAACAGAAUAUCAAAAUAUCAUUAUCCAACAGAUGGUUUCCCUAAUGUUCUGGUGAAGGUGAGGAAAGUACCCAUUUAUAGUUGGUCCCAGUCCCCAUCCACCCUGUCAUAAGUUGAACACCUCUGAUGAUAGCUUUGUUCAAUCAGAACUGACUUUGGGUGGAGUAAACAACAUGUAGGACCCAUCAACUGAGGACUUAAAACAUUCUAAAUGCCAUAAAUUAAUGAUAGAUCCAUUGGAAAGCUAAAACAAACUAGAAUGUUGUUCACAAAAAUACAUUAUAUAAACUAUAAAAACUCCAAAUGAUUUAAUCUGGUAUUUUACCUCUACUACUACUACUACUACUAUUAUCACCACCACCACCACCUCAAUCUCCCAGGGCCAUUUUAGCAGCAUUAAAAACUCCUUGGCAAAUCAGUGCACUGGGCCCUAUAAUAUGUAUUUAUUGAAAGCUACAACAUAUAUAGAUUAAAAUUCCCCCUAGACCUGUGAGGCUACUAGGCAACUACUCAGUAUACUCAUGCCUGGAGAUAGCACUACCGCCACUACCCCAUCUGCUACUACUUUUGGCAAUAAAUAUUUUUUAGUCUGAAAUAUUAAAAGGUUUCUUGUUGACUGUCAACAACAAUUAUUUUUUUUUGCUCUGAAGAAAUUUAAUUUAUUAAUUAAUUAAAUAAAAUCAAAGAUAAAUCAAAGUAAAUUCAGUAUCACAAAGGAUGUUGUUCAUCUUAAUUCUUUUGAAACCAACCCACCCAAGGCUAUCACCUCUGGCUUCAUAGUACAAUGCACUAAUCUUUAAAGGUUUCAUAUGAGAAUUAAAAAAGUUUUCUGUUAUAAUUUUAUGUAAGAAUUUUAAUUUUAGUUUCAUUACAAAUACCAACUUAAUAAUUGUUUCUGAUAAAGAUACAGGACCAGAAAGUUAUGGGAGAGAGGGCUAGAUGAUCACCCUCCCUCCCACCCAGUAUUUUGACUGGUACUUUAUUUUAUUGACUGUGGGAGGAUGAAAGGCAUAAAUGACAUUCGCAACAUUUGAACUCAGAACAUAAAAUGCCACAACUAAAUGCUGCAAAUCAUUUUGUCCAAUACCCAAACAAUUCUGCCAACCUAUCACCCUGAUGUAAAAGUAAAUGAUAUUUAGUCUGAUGAUCUACUGACAUGAUGGCAAUGUUUAAUAGUUCAUUAAGCAUUUAAUUAUUUUGAAAAUUAAAUUAAGCCAUGGAUAGUUUAUGUUGUGAGAAAUAUGGCCACAAAAGGUUUAAUCAAAAUAUGACAUUGUAAUUUCUUUCCUGUCAUAUUGUUGCUUUGUCCCAGGUGAGGUUUGAUCAAGCAGACCUAUGAACUAUCAAAGACAUUCCAGUUGUGACCAUCUCAUCUUGUUUAUAUAUCCAAGACUACACUGUCCAAUGUAUUAUUACCUUUCAUUCUUCUGGAGGUCUAACUUCAUUUAUAAUAUUUUUUAAGAUGGUAAGGUAUGGUCUGAAAGAUAUAUGGCUCCCUAGAUUGGUAGUUAGCUCCAAGUUAGCCCAGAUUGAACAGACCAUGAUAAAAGACAUUCCAGUCCUUGUUUAUUUAUGUUUGUUGGCUAACAUAAAAUAUCUGGGAUUACAUUAUCCAGUGAGUGAGAGCUUCUAUGUGGUGACUCAAUCUGCUUGACAUAACAGCUAAAUAUCUCUCACCUCUCAUCCUGCCAUGAUUUUCUUGUAGAUGUUAAUACAUAGAUGUUUAAACUUAUUGAUGUCCCCAGUUCAGGAGGACCAACAUUUAAAGAUGCAACCCUUUCUCUCUAGACUCACCACUAGAAAAAUUACUUUCUAAGACAUUAAAAGACAUUCGAUUUUAGUUGCCUUUCUUUUAUAUUUUUGUUUAACUGUAGAAGAAAAUGGAAUGUUCUUAGCUUUUGAAGAACUUUAUAGACUGAAAUAAAACUGAGUGUGAUUGUUGUAACGAUGUGAAAAUUGAACUUUUGGUUUGGGCAAGGUGAGAGAGAGUUCCAGAGAAGUUCAAGAUGGAAGAAAGUGGGAUUAAGUAAAAAUGUUGGCAUGAAAGAUAGUCAAGAAGAUGUCAGACACAGUGAUAUAAAUUUAUUCUUUGGUGGCAUUGCGCUAAUUAUUAUUAUGAUUAUUAUUAAUAUUAUUAUCAUUAAUGAUUGACAAAUGAUCAAAAUAAAAUAUUUUAAAAUUUUUUCCAAGAAUUAUAAUGCAAUGUCCCAGAAUGACCAUAGCUGUGAUGACUUAACUGACAAAAUGAACAAAGAUUACAUAAUAAUUUUGCUAUUUACUUACUGCAAAAUUUUUUUUUUUUCUUUUUGAUCUUUUUAUUUUUCAUUCCUGACAAUUUGGGAUAUCCUUUGAAAAAUAAAAGAUUAAAAUCAUGGCAAAAAUAUUUCCAAACUAUUUAUUUUUAAUUUUUUGCAAUUCUGAAGAAGAAAAUUAUUUUGCAUGGAUUGUGGUUAUAUUGCAACAGGCAAAGACAAAAUAAAAAAAAAACUGUCCAAGAAAAAAAAUCUGUCCUCAUUAGCUUCAAAACAUACUGAAAAAUUAUUUUUAAAAUCAACUGCUUUUUCAUUAUCAGUUUUUUCUAAAUAAAUUAAAAUAUUAAUCUUACAAUGCUUUUGUUUUAAAUAUUUAUUUUUAAAAUGUUCUCAUGUCUUCAACGUUUUGUUUCUUACUUUCACUAAAUAAAUGGUAAAUCAAGGACUUUUAGCUGCCAUAAGUCACAAUCAAAACCUUGUUCCAUCUAUGACACCACCACACUCACGUUCACUCAUAUCUCAACACUGAUGAAAUGUUGGUAUUUAGAAAAUGUGCUGAAAAUUAUGAACGAAAUUUGAGCUUCAUGCAUGUGUUUUUUGUUUUAUUUUUCCAGUUUCACUGGUUUCCUCAUAUUGUAGGAGAGAGAGAGAGGAGAAAUGUUAUUAACAUACUGAUAUUUGAACUCUAAAAAAAAAAAGAACAAUUUUAACUCCAGUAUGAACGUGUGAGUGCGCAUACGCGUACAUGUGCGUGCGCAUGCGCGAACGUGUGAGUGCGCAUGCGCAAACGUAUGCUUACGUAUGCGCGAACGUUUGCUUGGGCAUGCGCGAAAGUGUGCGUGCAAACGCGCGAACGUAUUACUACGCAUGUGCUAACGCGUGACUGCGCAUUCGCGAAAGUGUGACAGUGCAUGCGCGAAUGUGUGAAUUUCGGGCAAAAUUUUCCAAAAAUUUUAGUGAAAAGUUUUCGGUCAAAAUUUUCCAAAUAUUUUUCUGCAAUAUUUUCGGUGAAAAUUUACCAAAAAUUUUUGAGGAAAAUUUUUGAAAAUUUUCGAAAAAUUUUCGGAUAAUUUUCGUCAAAAUUUUCCAAAAUUUUUCUGCAAUUUUUCAAAAAAAAAUUUUUGGAGAAAACUUUCGGUGAAACUUUUCGAAAAAUUUUCCGGACAAAAUUUUGGGGAUAAUUUUCAAUGAAAAUUUUCGAAAACUUUUUGUGAAAAAUAUUCGGUCAAAAUUUUCCAAAUAUUUUCCUGCAAUAUUUUCGGUCAAAAUUUUACAAAAAUUUUUGGGGAAAAUUUUUCAAAAAAAUUUUCGGUGAGCGUGUGCGUGCGCAUGCGCGAAAAUGUGACUGCGCACGCGCGAAUGUGUCACUGCGCAUGCGCGAAAGUGUGACUGCGCAUGCGCGAAAAUGUGACUGCGCAUGCGCGAGAGUGUGACUGCGCAUGCGCGAAUUUGUGACUGCGCAUGCGCAAACGUGUGAUUGCGCGUGCGCGAUGUUGUGACUGCGCAUGCGCGAAUGUUUGACUGCGCAUGCGUAAAAAUGUGACUGCGCAUGCGCGAAAGUGUGACUGCGCAUGCGCGAAAGUGUGACUGCGCAUGCACGAAAAUGUGACUGCGCACGCGCGAAAAUGUGACAGCGCAUGCGCGAGAGUGUGACUGCGCAUGCGCGAAUAUGUGACCAUGCGCGAAUGUGUCACUGCGCAUGCGCGAGAUUGUGACUGCGCAUGCGCGAAUGUGUGACUACGCAUGCGCGAAGGUGUGACUACGCAUGCGCGAAAGGUCUGACUGCGCAUGCGCGAAAGUUUGAUUGCGCCUGCGCAUGCGCGAAAGUGUGAAAAUUGUCGAAAAAAUUUUCGUGGAAAUUUUUGGGGAAAAUUUUCAAUGAAAAUUUUCGAAAAAUUUCGGGCAAAAUUUUCCAAAAAUUUUAGUGAAAAGUUUUCGGUCAAAAUUUUCCAAAUAUUUUUCUGCAAUAUUUUCGGUGAAAAUUUACCAAAAAUUUUUGAGGAAAAUUUUUGGGGAUAAUUUUCAAUGAAAAUUUUCGAAAAAUUUUCGCUCAAAAUUUUCCAAAUAUUUUUCUGCAAUAUUUUGGUGAAAAUUUUCAACAAAUUUUUCGAGAAAACUUUCGGUGAAAAUUUUCGAAAAAUUUUCCGGACAAAAUUUUGGGGAUAAUUUUCAAUGAAAAUUUUCGAAAAAUUUUUGUGAAAAAUUUUCGAAAAAUUUUUGUGAAAAAUAUUCGUUCAAAAUUUUCCAAAUAUUUUCCUGCAAUAUUUUCGGUGAAAAUUUUACAAAAAUUUUGGGGAAAAUUUUUCAAAAAAAAUUUUCGGUGAGCGUGUGCACGCGUAUGCGCGAAAAUGUGACUACGCACGCGCGAAUGUGUCACUGCGCAUGCGCGAAAUUGUGACUGCGCAUGCGCAAAAGUGUGACUGCGCAUGCGGCAAGGUCUGACUGCGCAUGCGCGAGAGGGUGACUGCGCAUGCGCGAGAGGGUGACUGCGCAUGCGCGAGAGGGUGACUGCGCAUGCGCGAAUUUGUGACUGCGCAUGCGCAAACGUGUGAUUGCGCAUGCGCGAAUUUGUAACUGCGCAUGCGCGAAGGUCUGACUGCGCAUGCGCGAAGGUCUGACUGCGCAUGCGCGAAUGUUUGACUGCGCAUGCGCGACCGUGUGACUGCGCAUGCGCGAAAGUGUGAAAAUUUUUGGGUGAAAAUUUUCGAAAAAUUUCCGGGGAAAAUUUUUGGGGAAAAUUUUCAAUGAAAAUUUUCGAAAAAUUUUCGGGCAAAAUUUUCCAAAAAUUUUAGUGAAAAGUUUUCGGUCAAAAUUUUCCAAAUAUUUUUCUGCAAUAUUUUCGGUGAAAAUUUUCAAAAAAUUUUUGGAGAAAACUUUCGGUGAAAAUUUUCGAAAAAUUUUCCAGACAAAAUUUUGGGGAUAAUUUUCAAUGAAAAUUUUCGAAAAAUUUUUGUGAAAAAUAUUCGUUCAAAAUUUUCCAAAUAUUUUCCUGCAAUAUUUUCGGUGAAAAUUUUACAAAAAAAAUUUUUCAAAAAAAUUUUCGGUGAGCGUGUGAGUGCGCAUGCGCGAAAAUGUGACUGCGCACGCGCGAAUGUGUCACUGCGCAUGCGCAAAAGUGCGCGAAUGUCUGCGUGGGCUGCGCAUGCGCGAAUGUCUGCGUGGGCAUGCGCCAAGGUCUGACUGCGCAUGCGCGAAAUUGUGACUGCGCAUGCGCAAAAGUGUGACUGCGCAUGCGCGAAUGUUUGACUGCGCAUGCGUGAAAAUGUGACUGCGCAUGCGCGAAGAUCUGACUGACUGCGCAUGCGCGAGUGUGACUGCGCAUGCGCGAAUGUGUGACUGCGCAGCAUGCGCAAACGUGUGACUGCGCAUGCGCGAUGGUGUGACUGCGCAUGCGCGAGAGUGUGACUGCGCAUGCGCGAAGGUCUGACUGCGCAUGCGCGAAGGUCUGACUGCGCAUGCGCGAAUGUCUGCGUGCGCAUGCGCCGAGGUCUGACUGCGCAUGCGCGAUAUUGUGACUGCGCAUGCGCAAAAUUGUGACUGCGCAUGCGCGAAUGUUUGACUGCGCAUGCGUAAAAAUGUGACUGCGCAUGCGCGAAGGUCUGACUGCGCAUGCGCGAGAGUGUGACUGCGCAUGCGCGAAUGUGUGACUGCGCAUGCGCAAACGUGUGACUGCGCAUGCGCGAUGGUGUGACUGCGCAUGCGCCAUGGUGUGACUGCGCAUGCGCGAGAGUGUGACUGCGCAUGCGCGAAGGUCUGACUGCGCAUGCGCGAAGGUCUGACUGCGCAUGCGCGAAUGUUCUGACUGCGCAUGCGCGAAGGUCUGACUGCGCAUGCGCGAAUGUGACUGCGCAUGCGCGAACGUGUGACUGCGCACGCGCGAAAGUGUGAAAAUUAUUUGGGGAAAAUUUUCAAUGGAAAUUUUCGAAAAAUUUCGGGCAAAAUUUUCCAAAAAUUUUAGUGAAAAGUUUUCGGUCAAAAUUUUACAAAUAUUUUUCUGCAAUAUUUUCGGUGAAAAUUUACCGAAAAUUUUUGGUGAUAAUUUUGAUAAUUUUCGGUGAGCGUGUGCGUGCGCAUGCGCGAAAAUGUGACUGCGCACGCGCGAAUGUGUAACAGCGCAUGCGCGAAAGUGUGACUGCGCAUGCGCGAAUGUCUGCGUGCGCAUGCGCCAAGGUCUGACUGCGCAUGCGCGAAAUUGUGACUGCGCAUGCGCAAAAGUGUGACUGCGCAUGCGCGAAUGUUUGACUGCGCAUGCGUGAAAAUGUGACUGCGCAUGCGCGAAGAUCUGACUGCGCAUGCGCGAGUGUGACUGCGCAUGCGCGAAUGUGUGACUGCGCAUGCGCAAACGUGUGACUGCGCGUGCGCGAUGGUGUGACUGCGCAUGCGCGAGAGUGUGACUGCGCAUGCGCGAUGGUCUGACUGCGCAUGCGCGAAUGUCUGGCUGCGCAUGCGCGAAUGUUUGACUGCGCAUGCGCGAAUGUCUGCGUGCGCAUGCGCGAAGGUCUGACUGCGCAUGCGCGAAAUUGUGACUGCGCAUGCGCGAAUGUUUGAUUGCGCAUGCGUAAAAAUGUGACUGCGCAUGCGCGAAGGUCUGACUGCGCAUGCGCGAGAGUGUGACUGCGCAUGCGCGAAUGUGUGACUGCGCUGCGCAACGUGUGACUGCGCAUGCGCGAUGGUGUGACUGCGCAUGCGCGAGAGGGUGACUGCGCAUGCGCGAGUGACUGCGCAUGCGCGAAUGCGCAUGCGCAUGACUGCUGCGCAUGCGCGAUGGUUGACUGCGCAUGCGCGGAGUGUGACUGCGCAUGCGCGAGGUUGACUGCGCAUGCGCGAGGUUGACUGCGCAUGCGCGAUGGUGUGACUGCGCAUGCGCGAGAGUUUGACUGCGCAUGCGCGAAGGUCUGAUGCAUGCGCAUGCGCGAUGGUCUGACUGCGCAUGCGCGAAGGUCUGACUGCGCAUGCGCGAAUGUGACUGCGCACGCGCGAAAGUGUGAAAAUUUUUGGGGAAAAUUUUCAAUGGAAAUUUUCGAAAAAUUUCGGGCAAAAUUUUCCAAAAAUUUUAGUGAAAAGUUUUCGGUCAAAAUUUUACAAAUAUUUUUCUGCAAUAUUUUCGGUGAAAAUUUACCGAAAAUUUUUGAGGAAAAUUUUUGGUGAUAAUUUUGAAAAUUUUCGGUGAGCGUGUGCGUGCGCAUGCGCGAAAAUGUGACUGCGCACGCGCGAAUGUGUCACAGAGCAUGCGCGAAAGUGUGACUGCGCAUGCGCGAAUGUCUGCGUGCGCAUGCGCCAAGGUCUGACUGCGCAUGCGCGAAAUUGUGACUGCGCAUGCGCAAAAGUGUGACUGCGCAUGCGCGAAUGUUUGAUUGCGCAUGCGCGAAUGUGUGACUACGCAUGCGCGAAAGAGUGAUUGCGCAUGCGCGAACAUGUGACUGCGCAUGCGCGAACCUGUGACUGCGCAUGUGCGAAUGUUUGACUGCGCAUGCGCGAACAUGUGACUGCGCAUGCGCGAAAGUGACUGCGAAAGUGUGAAAAUUUUCGAAAAAUUUUUGUGAAAAAUUUUCGAUGAAAAUUUUCGAAAUAUUUUUGGGGAAAAUUUUUGGUGAAUAUUUUCGGUGAACGUGUGCGUGCGCAUGCGCGAACGUGUUACUGCGCACGCGCGAACGUGUGACUGCGCAUGCGCGAACGUGUGACUGCGCAUGCGCGAAAAUGCGACUGCACAUGCACGAAUGUGUGACUGCGCAUGAGCGAAGGUCUGACUGCUCUUGCCUAAAAUUGUGACUGCGCAUGCGCGAAAGUGUGACUGCGCAUGCGUGAUAGUGUGACUGCGCAUGCUCGAAUGUGUGACUGCAACUAGAUCUCCCUCAAUCACAGUGUACUGGCUUAAAUAAAGAACGAUACAAUGAACAGAAUAUCAAAAUAUCAUUAUCCAACAGAUGGUUUCCCUAAUGUUCUGGUGAAGGUGAGGAAAGUACCCAUUUAUAGUUGGUCCCAGUCCCCAUCCACCCUGUCAUAAGUUGAACACUUCUGAUGAUAGCUUUGUUCAAUCAGAACUGACUUUGGGUGGAGUAAACAACAUGUAGGACCCAUCAACUUUGGACUAAAACAUUCUAAAUGCCAUAAAUUAAUGAUAGAUCCAUGGGAAACCUAAAACAAACUAGAAUGUUGUUCAUAAAAAUACAUAUAAAAUAUAAAAACUCCAAAUGAUUUAAUCUGGCAUUUUACCACCACCACCACCUCCUCGCCCUCCUCCUCCUCAAUCUCUCAGGGCCAUUUUAGCAGCAUUAAAAACUCCUAGGCAAAUCAGUGCACUGGGCCUUAUAUGUAUUUAUUGACAGAAAGCCACAACAUAUAUAGAUUAAAAUUCCCCCUAGACCCGUGAGGCCACUAACUACCCAGUAUACUCAUGCCUGGAGAUAGCACUACCACCACUACCCUAUCUGCUAUUACUUUUAGCAAUAAAUAUUUUUUAGUCUGAAAUAUUAAAAGGUUUCUCAUUGACUGUCAACAACAAUUAUUUUUUUUGUUCUGAAGAAAUUUAAUUUAUUAAUUAAUUAAAUAAUAUCAAAGAUAAGUCAAAGUAAAUUCAGUAUAACAAAGGAUGUUGUUCAUCUUAAUUCUUUUGAAACCAACCCACCUAAGGCUAUCACCUCUGGCUUCAUAGUACAAUACACUAAUCUUCAAAGGAUUCAUAUAAGAAUUAAAAAAGUUUUCUGUUAUAAUUUUAUGUAAGAAUUUUAAUUUUAGUUUCAUUACAAAUACCAACUUAAUAAUUGUUUCUGAUAAAGACACAGGACCUGAAAUUUAUGGGAGAGAGGGCUAGAUGAUCAUCCUCCCUCCCACCCAGUAUUUUGACUGGUACUUUAUUUUAUUUACCGUGGGAGGACAAUAGCCAUAAAUGACAUUCACAACAUUUGAACUCAGAACAUAAAAUGCCAUAACUAAAUACUGCAAAGUAUUCUGUCCAAUGCCCAAACAAUUCUGCCAACCAAUCACCCUGAUAUAAAAGUAAAUGAUAUUUAGUCUGAUGAUCUACUGACAUGAUGGCAAUGUUUAAUAGUUCAUUAAGCAUUUAAUUAUUUUGAAAAUUAAAUUAAGCCAUGGAUGGUAUAUGUUGUGAGAAGUAUGGCCACAAAAGGUUUAAACAAAAUAUGACAUUGUAAUUUCUUUCCUGUCAUAUUGUUGCUUUGUCCCAGGUGAGGUUUGAUCAAGCAGACCUAUGAACUAUCAAAGACAUUCCAGUUGUGACCAUCUCAUCUUGUUUAUAUAUCCAAGACUACACUGUCCAAUGAAGGGUCCUUCAUUUAUUAUAUUUUUUAAGAUGGUAAGGUGUGGUCUGAAAGAUAUAUGGCUCCCUAGAUUGGUAGUUAGCUCCAAGUUAGCCCAGAUUGAACAGACCAUGAUAAAAGACAUUCCAGUCCUUGUUUAUUUAUGUUUGUUGGCUAACAUAAAAUAUCUGGGAUUACAUUAUCCAGUGAGUGAGAGCAUCUAUGUGGUGACUCAAUCUGCUUGACAUAACAGCUAAAUAUCUCUCACCUCUCAUCCUGCCAUGAUUUUCUUGUAGAUGUUAAUACAUAGAUGUUUAAACUGGGGAUUAACCUUAUUGAUGUCCCCAGUUCAGGAGGACUGACAUUUAAAGAUGCAACCCUUUCUCUCUAGACUCA
rnacentral:lncRNA from 1 species